UACGGGGGGAGCAAGCGUUGUUCGGAUUUACUGGGCGUAAAGCGCGUGUAGGCGGCUUGGCAAGUCGGGUGUGAAAGCCCUGGGCUCAACCUAGGAAGUGCACUCGAAACUGCCUCGCUUGAAUGCCGGAGAGGAAAGCGGAAUUCUCGGUGUAGAGGUGAAAUUCGUAGAUAUCGAGAGGAACACCGGUGGCGAAGGCGGCUUUCUGGACGGUGAUUGACGCUGAGACGCGAAAGCGUGGGGAGCAAACAGG
rnacentral:rRNA from 1 species